GGGGGCCCGCACAAGCGGCGGAGCAUGCGGAUUAAUUCGAUGCAACGCGAAGAACCUUACCAAGGCUUGACAUGAACCGGAAACACCUGGAAACAGGUGCCCCGCUUGCGGUCGGUUUACAGGUGGUGCAUGGUUGUCGUCAGCUCGUGUCGUGAGAUGUUGGGUUAAGUCCCGCAACGAGCGCAACCCUCGUUCUAUGUUGCCAGCGCGUUAUGGCGGGGACUCAUAGGAGACUGCCGGGGUCAACUCGGAGGAAGGUGGGGACGACGUCAAAUCAUCAUGCCCCUUAUGUCUUGGGCUUCACGCAUGCUACAAUGGCCGGUACAAAGGGUUGCGAUACUGUGAGGUGGAGCUAAUCCCAAAAAGCCGGUCUCAGUUCGGAUUGGGGUCUGCAACUCGACCCCAUGAAGUCGGAGUCGCUAGUAAUCGCAGAUCAGCAACGCUGCGGUGAAUACGUUCCCGGGCCUUGUACACACCGCCCGUCAAGUCACGAAAGUUGGUAACACCCGAAGCCGGUGGCCUAACCCCUUGUGGGAGGGAGCUGUCGAAGGUGGGACUGGCGAUUGGGACUAAGUCGUAACAAGGUAACCGUAAGGGC
rnacentral:rRNA from 1 species